rnacentral:lncRNA from 1 species
UCCCAUGGCUGAGUCUGCAAGAAACUAUGCUAAUGGAGCUACCCUGAGAACAACAUCAGAAAAACAUGGAACAGAACCUCCAUGUGUUACCAUUGACCAGAUGUUGGAGAAUUUGAAUGCAUAUUUAGACAAAAGGCUGGGACUGAGGAAGUGUCGUGAUGAUGUAUGCAAGAAGUACAGCAUCAAGCACUCACAGAGUGGAUUAUGGGCAUUGCCGGACAUUAAAAGGGCUUAUGGAAAGACACAGCGCUUAUGCACAACCACCAAGAAGGAUGGAUUGUCUGUGAUUUUGGUUAAGCAAAUUCUUCAACAUGAGCAUAAGUGUGAGACUGACAGAUUGGAACGUGAGAACAAAGCGGAGAAAGCUAAAGUUCGAGCACUGGCUGAACAAUUGCAAAACUUAAAGACGCAUAAAGAAAGACUGGAAAAGGAAAACAACAAGCUAUUGACUUUGAUCUCCAAACAGCUGGAAUCAAGAUCUUCAAGCAGCUUUGUUGACAGUGAGGCUGAUCUUUCUAUCAACACCUGUGUUCAUGACCCAGUGAACUCAAAGAUUAGAUUAGCUCCUGUGAUUGUCAAACACAGAAGGACUAACGUUGAAAUUGACAAUGAGGAGGGCUAUGAAGACAAUGGAGAGAGACGAACUCGCACUGUGACAAAAGUGGUAAAGAAGUAUGUUCCAUACAGGACAUACCAUCCAGCUACUCCAGAGCAAGUUGACAAAUGGUCAAAAGAGCUGCCAGAUGUAUACAAACAACCACGAAAGGUUUGGCAGUUUCUUCAACGACUGCAGAAAAUCUACAUUUUACAUCCACUAGACGGUGUGAUGAUUCUUAAUGUCACCCUAAGAGACAGUGACCAAAAGAGACUCACAGAAAGUGUUGAAAGAAGGAUUGGUGAAUCACAAGAAAACAUAGAGGAUGGAUGGGAAGCCAUAAAAAACUUCUUGUUUGAACUGAAACCUGCAGAGGUCAAUUGGGCAAGAAUUACCUCAUGCUUGCAGAAAACUGGAGAAAGUGUUGCAGAGUUUGAAGAACGCUUCAGACAAAUAUGGACAGAACAUUCUGGUCUAAAUACAAGUGAAGAUCUUGACAAAGACACUGGAAUUCCCCUGAAAACAACAUUUGUCAACGGACUCAAUCCUGAGAUUUCUAAAGAUCUUAAAAUCAGGUAUGAUGACUGGGACAGCACUGUAACAACUUUCAUCCAGAUUGUUGAAUGGUCAGCUAAACUGGAGAGAGCACAAGAUGUCAGACUCAGAUCUUUGCAAUCCAAAAGUUUGUUUUACAAGAACAGAACAACUGAGGAUGAGCAAAAAGAACGUGAGUAUAUGGGAUACUCAAAACUACGAACUAAAGGAAGAUGCAGAAAUUGCAAUGAAGAAGGACACUGGGCCCGUGAGUGCAAGCUCAGUUUAAAACAUCAAAGCAAGGAUGAUGACCACCUGUUCAAGCAGUUUCAGCAGCUAACAAUACAACAAAAACAGACUCUGCUAAAUGCUGUACAGCCGCAGGGAAACUGA